rnacentral:rRNA from 1 species
UACAGAGGGGGCAAGCGUUGUUCGGAAUUACUGGGCGUAAAGGGUGCGUAGGCGGCGCGGUAAGUCGGGUGUGAAAUCUUGGAGCUUAACUCCGAAACUGCAUUCGAUACUGCCGUGCUUGAGGACUGGAGAGGAGACUGGAAUUUACGGUGUAGCGGUGAAAUGCGUAGAUAUCGUAAGGAAGACCAGUGGCGAAGGCGGGUCUCUGGACAGUUCCUGACGCCGAGGCACGAAGGCCAGGGGAGCAAACGGG